rnacentral:rRNA from 1 species
GAUAGCUGGUUCUCCCCGAAAUGCAUUUAGGUGCAGCGUUGCGUGUUUCUUGCCGGAGGUAGAGCACUGGAUGGUCUAGGGGGCCCACAAGCUUACCGAAAUCAGCCAAACUCCGAAUGCCGGUAAGUGAGAGCGUGGCAGUGAGACUGUGGGGGAUAAGCUUCAUAGUCGAGAGGGAAACAGCCCAGAUCAUCAGCUAAGGCCCCUAAGCGGUAACUAAGUGGAAAAGGAUGUGGAGUUGCGUUGACAACCAGGAGGUUGGCUUGGAAGCAGCCAUCCUUGAAAGAGUGCGUAAUAGCUCACUGGUCAAGUGAUUCUGCGCCGACAAUUUAGCGGGGCUCAAGUUAUCCGCCGAAGCUGUGGCAUUCACGCGUGUGACCGGAAGGUUGUGUGGAUGGGUAGGGGAGCGUCGUGUGCGUGUUGAAGCGGUGGGGUGACCUGGUCGUGGAGUGCAUACGAGUGAGAAUGCAGGCAUGAGUAGCGAAUGACGGGUGAGAAACCCGUCCGCCGAUUAUCCAAGGGUUCCAGGGUCAAGUUAAUCUGCCCUGGGUUAGUCGGGACCUAAGGCGAGGCCGACAGGCGUAGUCGAUGGACAACGGGUUGAUAUUCCCGUACCGGCGAAACAACGCCCGUGCCGGGGCACGCGAUGCUAAGCAUGCGAGAUUGUCUGUUGCCUUUCGGGGUGGCGGGUGGUUGAGUCUGUGACCCGAGUGUGUAGUAGGCAAGCUGCGGAGGGACGCAGGAAGGUAGCUCAUCCUCAGCGUUGGUUGUCUGAGGCUAAGUGUGUAGGGUGGGGUGUAGGUAAAUCCGCAUUCCGUGAUGCCUGAGACAUGAUGGGCCUGCACCGUUUUGGUGUGGGUUGAGUGAUCCUAUGCUGCCUAGAAAAGCUUCGUUAGCGAGUUGUUAGCCGCCCGUACCCUAAACCGACACAGGUGGAUAGGUAGAGUAUACCGAGGCGAUCGGGAUAAUCGUGGUGAAGGAACUCGGCAAAAUACCCCCGUAACUUCGGGAUAAGGGGGACCUGAUACGUGACCAGCCUUGCGUUGUGAGCGUUGAGGGUCGCAGAGACCAGGCCCAAGCGACUGUUUACUAAAAACACAGGUCCGUGCCAACUCGUAAGAGGACGUAUACGGACUGACUCCUGCCCGGUGCUGGAAGGUUAAGGGGAACUGUCAGCCGCAUUUUGUGUGGUGAAGCGGUGAACUUAAGCCCCAGUAAACGGCGGUGGUAACUAUAACCAUCCUAAGGUAGCGAAAUUCCUUGUCGGGUAAGUUCCGACCUGCACGAAUGGAGUAACGAUUUGGGCGCUGUCUCCACCACGAACCCGGUGAAAUUGCAUUACGAGUAAAGAUGCUCGUUACGCGCAGCAGGACGGAAAGACCCCGGGACCUUUACUAUAGUUUGGUAUUGGUGAUCGGUGUGACUUGUGUAGGAUAGGUGGGAGACUGUGAAACCGGGACGCUAGUUCCGGUGGAGUCAUCGUUGAAAUACCACUCUGGUCACUCUGGUUAUCUAACCUAGGACCGUUAUCCGGUUCAGGGACAGUGCCUGAUGGGUAGUUUGACUGGGGCGGUCGCCUCCUAAAAGGUAACGGAGGCGCCCAAAGGUUCCCUCAGCCUGGUUGGCAAUCAGGUUACGAGUGUAAGUGCACAAGGGAGCUUGACUGCGAGACUGACGGGUCGAGCAGGGACGAAAGUCGGGACUAGUGAUCUUCUGGUAGCGAAUGGAAGCGCCAGGACUCAACGGAUAAAAGGUACCCCGGGGAUAACAGGCUGAUCUUGCCCGAGCGUCCAUAGCGACGGCAUGGUUUGGCACCUCGAUGUCGGCUCGUCGCAUCCUGGGGCUGGAGUCGGUCCCAAGGGUUGGGCUGUUCGCCCAUUAAAGCGGCACGCGAGCUGGGUUUAGA